UUUCAUCAUGUCUGUUUUGGAGUCCGUCUCAGCAAAAAAGAAAGGUUCCGUCAUCAUCUGUGGAGAUUUUAAUUUGGUAAUGGACCCACGUAUUGACAAAUCUACUCCUGAUGGCAGGGUAAA